AUGGCUCAGAUUGAACGCUGGCGGCAGGCCUAACACAUGCAAGUCGAGCGGAUGACGGGAGCUUGCUCCCGGAUUCAGCGGCGGACGGGUGAGUAAUGCCUAGGAAUCUGCCUGGUAGUGGGGGACAACGUUUCGAAAGGAACGCUAAUACCGCAUACGUCCUACGGGAGAAAGCAGGGGACCUUCGGGCCUUGCGCUAUCAGAUGAGCCUAGGUCGGAUUAGCUAGUUGGUGAGGUAAUGGCUCACCAAGGCGACGAUCCGUAACUGGUCUGAGAGGAUGAUCAGUCACACUGGAACUGAGACACGGUCCAGACUCCUACGGGAGGCAGCAGUGGGGAAUAUUGGACAAUGGGCGAAAGCCUGAUCCAGCCAUGCCGCGUGUGUGAAGAAGGUCUUCGGAUUGUAAAGCACUUUAAGUUGGGAGGAAGGGUUGUAGACUAAUACUCUGCAAUUUUGACGUUACCGACAGAAUAAGCACCGGCUAACUCUGUGCCAGCAGC
rnacentral:rRNA from 1 species